GAUGAACGCUGGCGGCAGGCUUAACACAUGCAAGUCGAGGGAAAGCGACAGCAGCAGGUUGCUUUUGAUGUGGGGGGGGAGGGGCGAGGAACAGGAGGACAAACCCAAUCUACGAAUGGGAUAAGAAUGAGAAAGCGGAGCUAAGACUGGUAGCCAAUGAGAACCGAAGGAUGCAAAGGAGAGGGACGGACGAGUUGUCGGUGAUAGAUGGGGAUGCGCUGCAUUAGCUAGUUGGCAAGGUAACGGCUUACCAAGGCAACGAUGCAUAGCCGAUCUGAGAGGGUGAUCAGCCACACUAGAACUGAGACACGGUCCAGACUCCUACGGGAGGCAGCGGUGCGGUAUCUUCCGCAAUGGGCGAAGGCCUGACGGGACCACGCCGCGUGGCUGAUGAAGGUCCUCGGCUCGUAAAACUCUGUUAUUAGGGUAGAACAUAUGUGUAAGUAACUGUGCACAUCUUGACGGUACCUUAUCAGAAAGCCCCGGCUAACUACGUG
rnacentral:rRNA from 1 species